AAUAUGUCAAAAUAUUGGAGGCAAUUUCUCUUUAUUAGCGUAAAGACCUGAAACAAAUUAUAUUGAAUACUGUAUUCUAAGUUGACUGCGGAAAGAGCAAAACUAUUAUCAACAUGAUGUCGUGUUCAGUUACUGCACAUUGCAAAGUGAAUGUUCUCUGUGACUGUUACUGCAAUGAUUCACUUGAAAUGAUAUUUCCCACCACCAAUUUAUGGUUAUGAGUGGAAGUUGUCAGCUACUUGCAGAGAAAACUUAGUCCAUUAAGCACUAGACACAUUGGAUACAGCCAUGAAACAAAUGACUGAUAGAUGUAUGAAAAACAGACAAAAGUAAGUUAUGUCACUUUGAAUUGCACACAAUAGGUUUAAAAACUUUGAUCACAUGGGCUCUAUGAUGAUUAAAUUGUAAUUUUACUCCAAUUCAUGUGUGAAAGAUGUCAGAUUCUUGCGGAAAAUAAGUCAGAUUUGGUACAGUAUACUUAAAUAUAACAAUACCUUUGUAAUUGUCCAGGUAUCUUAAAGUUCCUGAAUAGCAUUUCUUUUAACAUGACAUGAAUUUUAAAGAAUAUACCAAAGAUUAAAUUAUGUCAACAUUUUGAGUUUUACUGUACACUUAAUAUUUGAACACAUCCUUUAAUAUCUCUUCAUUCGAGAUACUUAACAGAUAAAAGAAGAAUAUACAAGAAUAUGUACACUGCAAU